UACGUAGGUGACCAGCGUUGUCCGGAUUUACUGGGCGUAAAGAGCGCGCAGGCGGUCGUUCAAGUCGAGUGUGAAAGCCCCUGGCUCAACUGGGGAGGGUCACUCGAUACUGAUCGACUUGAAGGCAGGAGAGGGAAGCGGAAUUCCCGGUGUAGUGGUGAAAUGCGUAGAUAUCAGGAGGAACACCGGUGGCGAAGGCGGGUCUCUGGGCCGAUACUGACGCUGAGGAGCGAAAGCGUGGGGAGCAAACAGG
rnacentral:rRNA from 1 species